ensembl:ncRNA lncRNA:CR9162 long non-coding RNA:CR9162
UUUACGUUCGCCUAAGCGGCGCGUGUGCUCGUAAAAGCCGAUCGUCAAGUGGGUGACGGCGGUUGGAGGUGGAGGUGGGUCCGUCCGUUUGGCCCAUUGAAGCAGUGAAGUCAAUGCCCGGCUGAGAUUGGCCUUGUGGAAUGGUCAAGGUUGCCUAUUGGCAAUACUUCCGCAUUCCGUAUACAUUACUAAACUACAGGCAGAUUUCAUUAAAGAAGUGGAUACAUUACAAGAACUUCAAUCUUCUUCAGUCCUCUGAACUCUUAUUCGUCAACUGCAAUUUGCCUUGAGAUAGGAACUAUAUGAAGAAGAAGAGAGCACACACUCAUUCACUCACUCACGCACACACACAAGUGCAGGCCACGCGCAGCAGAAAGGCAAACAGCGGAAAAUCGAAAAAUCAGGCGGCAAGACCGCAACAACUGCAGAGAAGCAUGGAUGCAGAGAGGCGGAGUGCCGGGAAGUGCUGUCUAGCUAUUAUAAGCCGUUCUAUAGUUGGGCGACGGAGUGUGAGCGAGCGAAGUGGUGUGGGGGAGGGGUGCAGCCAGCAUGUGCAGGCGAUAAAUGCAACGUGUAAUGUGGGGAGGCAGUGCACGGGUUUUCGACAUCCGAUGUCCAUUGCAAAUGGAAGAGGACGUGCAAUGGUUUGCGAUGCACGUGUUGGCGGUCAAUGAACCGAAUGGGCGAGAUAGAGAGAGCGAGCGAGAAAAGCAGAAAUGCAGGGGCAGAUAUGUAAGUAGUGUAAGUGCAGGGAGAGCAAAGAUACGAAGAGAGUAAGGGCGAGAGCGCACUGCCGUUUAAUGCAGUUAUUAUUGACGCAGUCUGUCUACGUGCAGAAUGUCAAUGCCGCUUACCCUUCACACACCCCUCCCACAUUUCAAGCCACCUGUUAUCGAUACAAGUUAUCGAUCAUUGAGUACAGUGGAGCUACAUUGUAUGCUGCACUGAAUAUGGUUAACAAACUGCAUGCCUAAUGGAACCGACAAUUCCCCAGCGAUAAUUUAGCCAAGAAACGAAUGGCGCCUGCGGUUUAAGGCCAAUUGCAUUAUGAAUGUACAUAUGCAUGGAUUAGUCGGAAAAACAAAUGAAAACAACUGCGAAAUGUGUUUUGUAAUCUUUUCUUUUUCGCGUGCAGCCUGUUUUCGCAAUUUGUCAAGUUACGUUCCUCCUUAUGUAAAUACCAACUGCAAAAAAAAAAAAAAAAACAGUUUGAGCUUCAGUAAACCAUGUUUUUCAGAC